UUCAAUGAAAAACAAACAAACCAAAAACAAAAACUUCUCGGUAAAAAGCUUGUGUUGUCCACGGAAAUUCUCAUUUUUUUUUUUUUUUUUCAUUCGCGCCCAUAUUCUUUUAACUUUUAUUCUCUUAACAAGCAGACCAUACACCGUAUGACACUUUCGUGUAUCGAAAAAAAAAAAUAAAUAAAAUGUCAAGUAAAGUAAGUAAAAGAUCACAAAAUUUCUAUGAAUAAAUAAGACAAGAAUGAUCAUACUCUGUUACAACAACAACCAAGAAUUCCACCAAAAUGCUUCUUUUUCAACAUUUUGCAAUUGUUCCAGACUAAUAACCAUAUUGUUUUGAAGAAUUCAUUUUAUGAUGAUGAUGAUGAUGAUGAUGGAACUUUGUUGUUAUUAUCAUCAUUGUCAUUUAUCGUGUUUCAAAAAUAGCUAGAUAUCGUAAAUGAACAAUCAUUAUGAUUAUUAUUAGUAUUAGUAUCAUAUGGUAUUUGUUAUUAUCGAAAUUGGUCAUUUGGAUCAUCAUCAUCAUCACAAACAAAAAAAUUCUUGUCACAACAACACGAUUAUCGUUAUUAUUAUUGGAAUAAUAUCCGAUCUCAAUCACCAAAUCAUCAUCAUCAUCAUCAUCAUCACUUGAGCUAGAUUGUAUUAUCGUAUCGUAUGAACACAAAUGAUAGUGUCUUUUUCUUGUCCAUGUCUUUGAUGAUCAAAGAUAUAAAUAAUUGACACAUAAUAAUAAUAAUAAUAAAGGAUAUUUGGACUUUAGA